UUUUCCUACAAUAUUUCCCCAUUAUUUUUCCUCAACCUCUCCCUGAUUUUCCUACAAGUUUUCCCCAUUUUUUCCUCAUUUCUCUCCCCAAUUUUCACCACAAUUUUCCCUCAUUUUUACCCCAAUUUUCACACUUUCUUCUCUCUUUUUUUCCCCAAUUUUUUCCCCAAUUUUCGCCUCAUUCUCUCCCCAUUUCUCCCCUCCCUUGAGCCCAUUUUGGGUUCAAUUCCUGCAUUUUUGGCUCACUCACCCCAUGGAAGUUUCUCCCCAUUUCUCCCACACUUUCCCCCAUUUUCUCUCUAAUUUUCCUCCAUUUGCUCCCCAUUUUUUAUUAUUUUCCCCCAUUUUUUUCCCCC
rnacentral:lncRNA from 1 species